rnacentral:rRNA from 2 species
GAGGACGCUCACCACUUUGUGGUUCAUGACUGGGGUGAAGUCGUAACAAGGUAGCCCUAGGGGAACCUGGGGCUGGAUCACCUCCUUAUACGAAGAUAC